CGGGGGCGGUGGAGGCUCUGGCAGCUAGACGGCUCUGGUUGAGUUCAACAAGGCACAAGACAGCGGCCUAGAAGUAGGGACAGACGGUUGGAGCGUCGGGGUCAUGCGGACAAGGCGCGACGGCGUGCGUGCAAGGCGGGCUGGCGAACGGCAAUGGACGGCUGCAAACAGCAUCGACAGCUUCUCUAUUGGCUGAUGGAAGCGAAAUGGCAAGGAGGAGGGAUGAG
rnacentral:lncRNA from 1 species